UGGGGAAUAUUGCACAAUGGGCGAAAGCCUGAUGCAGCGACGCCGCGUGAGGGAUGACGGCCUUCGGGUUGUAAACCUCUUUCAGCAGGGAAGAAGCGAAAGUGACGGUACCUGCAGAAGAAGCGCCGGCUAACUACGUGCCAGCAGCCGCGGUAAUACGUAGGGCGCAAGCGUUGUCCGGAAUUAUUGGGCGUAAAGAGCUCGUAGGCGGUUAGUCGCGUCUGCUGUGAAAACUCGAGGCUCAACCUCGGGCUUGCAGUGGGUACGGGCUGACUAGAGUGCGGUAGGGGUGACGAUCGAUUGCUGGUGUAGGCGUGGAAUGCGCAGAUAUCAGGAGGAACACCGAUGGCGAAGGCAGGUCACUGGGCCGCAACUGACGCUGAGGAGCGAAAGCAUGGGGAGCGAACAGGAUUAGAUACCCUGGUAGUCCAUGCCGUAAACGUUGGGCACUAGGUGUGGGGUCCAUUCCACGGAUUCCCGUGCCGCAGCAAAGCGCAUUAAGUGCCCCGCCUGGGGAGUACGGCCGCAAGGCUAAAACUCAAAGGAAUUGACGGGGUCAUAGCUGUUUCU
rnacentral:rRNA from 1 species